AUUUAAUUCCUAAUAUCAUUUUCAGAAAUAAUUAUUAGAAGGAUUGGUAACAUUCUUCGAGUUAUCGUUUGGAUCUUCGCUCAACGCUCUUAGAAUAAUCUUGGAGUCGUUCAACGCUCUUAAAAUACACACUUUGAAUAUAAGGUUAAAUUGCGUUAGGGGAUCGUGAAAACGCAUUGGUAACAUUCUCGGGACGUAAGACAAUGGCUGAUAGGUGCGAAUGAACGGUAAUAGAGCUCAUGGCUGUCGAAGCAAAAGGAUAAUAGGCGUCGCAGUUAAAUCAUUAUGCACUGUGCAUGAUAUUUUUUCGACCCCCAUCUCAAUGAUAAAUUCAAGGCUCGCAUACUAGGUCAAAAUUUACGGUUGCUCAUCUAAGAAAAUCUUUUAAUUAUUCUUAUCGGAUAUGAAGACACUUACGAUUAAUUACCAAUUGAUUCCUCUUUUUUGCGAAAAGGUAUGUAAUAAAAAAAAAAAAUAAAUAAAAAAAAGAGAAUAUGCGUUAGAAUCUUACGUAAGAAAAUAACAUCGUUAAUACACCUCUCUUCUCGUCACGUAGACGAUCGAGACAAAUAGAGAGCGAAGAAAACAAUAAAAAAAGGAGUCAAGGUUUAUCGAUAAAGACUUUUCUGUUGUUAGUGACUUGUUCUAUGCGAAAAUAUUUUAAAUUACCAAUAAACAACAAAAUAUUUUUUUUUUUCAACUAUGAUAUCGCGUAUGAUAAUGUUAACGUCACGUCGUAGUGAUAAUGUUUAUUUACCAAAAAUAGUUAUUAAAAAUGUCUACGCGAAUUCUACGAAUAUAAUUCUAUGAUAUUGUAUAAUUCGUAUGAAUGUUAUUGCCUACAAUUAUCAGCUUAUGUAGAAUACUUACAACGGUACGAACGUGACUCAUUAAAGUGAUAAAAGAAAAAAGAAAAAAAGAAAAAGAUAAAAUAAAAAUAUAUAAACGGUCGAGAGAUUCCCAAAGCGGACAGAGAGAACGUGCCGAAGAUCGAGCGUAAGGGCUCUCGAGCGGGGGACCAUCUUUAAGUUCAACACGAUUUCACCAUUAGUAACCUUUCUAGCGUUUCCACGUGAUUGCCUGGCAUAGUACUCGACUAGCCUUGACAUAGAAGCAAGAAAAGAAAGGUCAGUCGGUGGAAUAAUCGAUGUAAAGCCGAGCGAUGAGAAGGAAGUAUACGGGAACUGGAUCUUGCAUAGAACGAAAGUUAAACUUUCACCAAGAAAACCGAUCAUCGUUAACGUUAUAAUAUAUCUGCAUAAAUAUAUUUGUAAUCCUUGAAAAUUGCAAAUAAAUAAUACUCUGUUUGAUUCGU